CAUUUUUCCGUGAUGACUCAAGGAACUUAACUCAUGUUGGAGGAGGUGUAUUAUCUGGAGGUCUGGAAAUCUUUUCCUUGAUAAGAUAUGGGUAUUAGCUUUACUUCAGUUUUAACUCCUCUCACUUUCAGAGAGAGAGGAGAGGAGGAGGAGGAUGGGUGAGUCAAGGAGUGCGCUUAUUAAUGAGUUUGUCUUUAUGAUUCACAGUUGAAGGUUGGCAACAUUGUUGAUUGUGUCCCUCUUAAUGGGUGGUGGAAUUUCAAUAACAAGGCAUAGCUUUUAUGUCCAUAACACUUCACAUAGAAAAUAACCAAUUCACCGAGAGAAAGAGAUACUUGGUACAUAGAAAAUAAUCAAUUCACUGAGAGAGAUUUUUUGAUAUUGUGGUUAGCUGAUUUAAAAAAUUAUAAUAUCCUUUUCUCUCGUCGCUUUAUAGAAAUUUUUGAAAUCCCCUCGGAUUGACUGUUGGAUAUUUGUCAAUUUCUCUGCACGCUGUGAUACCAGUUAUAUUUCACGGGAGCUUAUCGAUUGUGGAAGGAAUAAGGGCAUUGUAGGGCACAUGAAUGUUUUGGACUGAUUAUCAUCCCUUCCCUCAUUAACCCUCUCUUACAUUUAUUGUGGAAGAUGCACAAUCUAGAAAAGCCAGCCCUGUUGAAAGAGUUGAAAAGAUGUUUGAGCGGAUUAAUGCAAAGCUUAAUCCUGGAGAAUAUGAGUUCAUCCUUUGUGUCUUGCCAGAGUGGAAAAACUCUGAAAUUUAUGAUAUGGCUUUGUUCUCUUGCCCUCCUUCCCUCUGGAGUGAUUCCAUUUUCUUUAGCCAUAGAAUCAAUCUAUGUUCUUUUAUAUUGUCAAGGGCCCUGGAAGAAGAUAAGUCUAAGUGACUUUGGUUAAUGGUCAGUACCUCACUAAUAUGCUUCUUAAAAUAAACUCUAAGGUAAAUUGAGAAGCUUGAAAGCUUAAUAUCCUUACUCACCAAUAAUGUACUAUUAAUGAUUCUUUCUGCUGCUAUUUUUUCUUUUAUAGCUUGACGGAAGAAAUUCUUUGUUGGCCAAAGAGCACUGCUCAUGUAUUCCUCUGAUAAAUGAUACUACUCCACUGAUUUUGGGAAUGGAUGUCUCACAUGGGUCUCCUGGUUGAUCAGAUAUCCCAUCUAUUGCUGCGUGAGUUGCCAGAAUUCCCCCACUUGUAGUAGCAUGUCUGAACCACUUGAGGCGAUGUGAGAUCGAAACUACAUUUGUCCAAGUUAUAAUUGUGGAAGACCAAAACAACCAAACAAUGUUCCGUGGUCGCUUCAACCAAGCAGGCUGGUGUAUGCAAGAUAUGGAAGGCAUACCAGCACCUUGGGGAGGUUGACAUUCCCAAGUUCACAGUGAUUGUGGCUCAGAAGAAUCAUCACACGAAGCUAUUUGAAGCUGGUUCCCGUGAUAAUGUUCCACCUGGGACUGUUGUGGACACAAAAAUUGUGCACUCAAGGAACUAUGAUUUCUACAUGUGUGCUCAAGCAGGGAUUACUCUUGCUGCAUAUCAGAUAGGCCAGUUUUAUGAAGUUUGAAGAUCUAUCAGAAACCUCUUCAGGACUUGUCACUUCUGCCGAGAGCACCCCAAUUCCAGAGCUCCCUGGGUUGCGUGAGAACGUCCGGAGUUCCAUGUUCUUCUGUUGAGGCAGUGCUGACAAAUGUUCAUAAAUAUUUGCUCAUUUUAUACUCGUAGACAAGCAACCCCAGUUAACUUCAGGUGGGGUAGAGAUAAGUUUAGUUAUGGACAAGUUUAGAUGCCUAAUGAAAUGUGUACUAUUUCUUCUCAGGAUUGGGAUCUCUUGCAAUUGUCUGUCCCGAUUACACUGCAAUCGUGCAGGAAAUUGAGAGAGGUCUUGCUCCGGCAAGUAGGCCUUAUCGGGCAUCUUACAAUUGCAGUCGAGCAGGCUUUUGGGAUUGCAGCCAAGACUUUAGGGAAUUGCAUCUUCUUUUAAUUUAAAAGUUUUGAGUGUAAAUUUCAUGGUUAUGCAAAGAAAGUAUGUACCUUUGCUAUAUGGUUUUUGCUCAACCUGGUCUAACCGUCUUAAUCAUGACCAUGUAAAUUUAUGAAAACUACAAAACUAUAACACAAAAACUUUGAAAAAAUUGUUAUAUAUAUAUAUACACACACACACACAAA